rnacentral:lncRNA from 1 species
AUUGUUUUUAUGUAAAUGAUUAUUGUGCACCGUACCCAUAUUUUUAGGGACGCGAAUUGCAACUGAUAUUUUACAGUUUUUUCUUGCGAUGUGUUGUCCUUAAGGUUUCAAAUUGGUUCAUUUGGGAGGGUUGGGUUUAUGGCCACCACAUUGUUUAUGUGCCAAUGUCCAUUCUAAAGCCAGGAACAUGUAGUACAGUGGUUGUUGUUCAUAAUUCAUGUCGGUCAAGUUUUUUUCGUAAAUUAUUUUGUUAUCAAUAAGGCUGUUUAGUUUUGUUUGAUUUUUGUUUUUAAAUCUUAAUGGUCGGGGCAUUUAAUAGCCGACUAAAUAGUGUUUUUUUUUUCAUUUUUGGAGGCCGCUCGGUGGCCUUUAAAGACUUACUACCACGUCAUUGUAACUCUGGUUGGUACUUGUAUCAUUAGUGCUGGACCAUGGUCGAUCCUAUGCACCUUUGAGGCAGGCGGGAUAUUUUUG